GAUGAACGCUGGCGGCGUGCCUAAUACAUGCAAGUCGAGCGAACAGAUAAGGAGCUUGCUCCUUUGACGUUAGCGGCGGACGGGUGAGUAACACGUGGAUAACCUACCUAUAAGACUGGGAUAACUUCGGGAAACCGGAGCUAAUACCGGAUAACAUAUUGAACCGCAUGGUUCAAUAGUGAAAGGCGGCUUUGCUGUCACUUAUAGAUGGAUCCGCGCCGUAUUAGCUAGUUGGUAAGGUAACGGCUUACCAAGGCAACGAUACGUAGCCGACCUGAGAGGGUGAUCGGCCACACUGGAACUGAGACACGGUCCAGACUUCUACGGGAGGCAGCAGUAGGGAAUCUUCCGCAAUGGGCGAAAGCCUGACGGAGCAACGCCGCGUGAGUGAUGAAGGUCUUCGGAUCGUAAAACUCUGUUAUCAGGGAAGAACAAAUGUGUAAGUAACUGUGCACAUCUUGACGGUACCUGAUCAGAAAGCCACGGCUAACUACGUG
rnacentral:rRNA from 1 species